rnacentral:tRNA from 1 species
GCCGAGGUGGUGGAAUUGGUAGACACGCUAUCUUGAGGGGGUAGUGACCGAAAGGUCGUGGGGGUUCGAGUCCCCCCCUCGGCACCA